AAAAAUGAGGCCUUCUCUUCCCAGUUCUUCCCAGAGUCAGGAAAAGCUGGGUUGAGAGGGUAG
rnacentral:pre_miRNA from 1 species